AGGCUGCUAAUGCAUUGUCACUGCUGUGUGGCACCAGAAAACUGAACAUUGAGGCCGGACUGUAGAAGUUAACCAUCUGGAACGUUUGCAGGAAAGUAUUCAUUUGCUUUUCUUCAGUGCCCUGGGGACAGGGUGGCUGCUGGCUUAGAGGCCUGGGAAACCAACACAGAAGAGAGUGAAUAAGCGAGGACGUUACCCGGUAGAAUCUUGAGACUGCAUCUACAGCGAUGUUCCUUUCCAGCGUCACUGCGUCCCCUUUAUAUUAGAAGCUAUUUCACCCGUGCGGUGAGCAGCCCACUUCACGCAACACCAUUUCAUUGAAAAUCUGCUGCUGUGGAUACCACCAGCCAUUAUGUCCAACAACAGAGGGGUAAACACAGAAAACAUAGCUUAUAGACAUAAAGAAGAGUGAAGUCAGCCGGGCGGCGGUGGCACACGCCUUUAAUCCCAGCACUCGGGAGGCAGAGGCAGGCGGGUCUCUGUGAGUUCGAGACCAGCCUGGUCUACAGAGUGAAUUCCAGGACAGCUAGAGACACACAGAGAAACCCUACCUUGAAAAAACAAACAAAAUAAUAAACAAACAAACAAGCUAUACUACUUACAGGAAGUUAUCUGCAACUGGUUGGAGGUUACAUUAACUAGUUAAGGUAGGCCCAGAAUGGCAUGUGUUAUAUCUUUUCUCUCAUUUAUGGCUCCUGAGUGUUUUAUAGUUACAUGAAAUCAUGCAUAUAUCAAUGAAAAUAGAAGUAAAAUUAGCUAGAGAGCAAAGGGCACAAAUGAGAGGGGUAGGAGCAUGAAAAGGGAGAGACGGGAGUAGGGAGGCUUGCUCAAUGUGCAAUGUAUACCUCUCUGAAAAGUUGCCACACUAAAGUAGAGAAAAGAACUUGCUGUAGAACACCUGCCCCUGUGGCACAAAGAGAAUUGGAGACGUCUCUGGAAUUGGAGAUGCCCCCUCACUUCCUCUCUGUUCUAAGAAGUGCUUGGCAGUCAGUGAGGACGACGGGCAUAUUGUCAGGCUGAAGGAAGUGAAUGGUUUCUGGAGUAACGUUUUAUGCUGCUGCUGGGCGCAUAGUGGAAUGGUUGUCAACUUCCACUCUGUGGUCCCAUUCACCAGCAUUGUAGAAAGUGGGUUGGGGUACUUAAAAUGGAACAUAAUAAUGAAAAGAUGGAAUGUAGCUAUUAGAUUUUUUAUUUAUUUCAGGAAUGGCAGGAUAUGUAUUUGGAUGUACAAAACUGUUUACUGGACAGUGUAUUCUACAUAAUCUAAGAUACUUGGAUAUCAACCUUAAUAAAUGGACUUUCUGGGGAUUGAGCAUCAGCUGUUGGUUAAGAGCUUAGAUUGCUUUUGUAGAGAGCUACAGUUUGGCUUCAAACUGUGUGGGGCUCAGAACUAUCUGGAACUCCAGCUCCAGGGUCUCCAGCACCAUCUUCUAACAGCUGUGUGGGGCUCAGAACUAUCUGGAACUCCAGCUCCAGGGUCUCCAGCACCAUCUUCUAACAGCUGUGUGGGGCUCAGAACUAUCUGGAACUCCAGCUCCAGGGUCUCUAGCACCAUCUUCUAACAGCUGUGUGGGGCUCAGAACUAUCUGGAACUCCAGCUCCAGGGUCUCCAGCACCAUCUUCUAACAGCUGUGUGGGGCUCAGAACUAUCUGGAACUCCAGCUCCAGGGUCUCCAACACCAUCUUUUGUCCCCGCUGAUGCUGUGCUCAUGUGCACUAAGACUUUCACACACUCAUAAGCAUAAUUAAAAAUAAAAUAUUUAAGGAGUGAA